UACGUAGGGUGCGGGCGUUGUCCGGAUUUAUUAGGCGUAAAGGGCUCGUAGGCGGCUUGUCGCGUCGGGAGUGAAAGCCCGCUGCUUAACGGCGGGUUUGCUUUCGGUACGGGCAGGCUGGAGUACGGCAGGGGAGACUGGAAUACUUGGUGUAGCAGUGAAAUGCGUAGAUAUCAAGUGGAACACCAGUGGCGAAGGCGAGUCUCUGGACAUUUCCUGACGCUGAGGCACGAAAGCCAGGGGAGCAAACGGG
rnacentral:rRNA from 1 species